UCGAAUUCACUCGCAGCUGUUGCAUCACUUUGCACGCCGCGCUUGUCUUCAUUCACACCUGUGCACCUUGUGCGGACUUGGCUCGCGCCUCGUCUGCCUUUUUUUACACCUUUUUUGUAUGGCCUUGAAUUUAUUCGGUCGCUCUGUGAUGGAGCGGUCGUAGAAAAAAAU
rnacentral:misc_RNA from 1 species